rnacentral:miRNA from 1 species
AUCGGAUGGAUCCGAAGGAUCGGAUGGAUCCGGAGGAUCGGAUGGAUUCUUCGGAUCCAUCCGAUCCAUUGGAUCCAUCCGAUCCUUCGGAUCCAUCCGA